rnacentral:rRNA from 1 species
AGUGAACGCUGGCGGUAGGCCUAACACAUGCAAGUCGAACGGCAGCACAGUAAGAGCUUGCUCUUACGGGUGGCGAGUGGCGGACGGGUGAGGAAUACAUCGGAAUCUACUUUUUCGUGGGGGAUAACGUAGGGAAACUUACGCUAAUACCGCAUACGACCUACGGGUGAAAGCAGGGGAUCUUCGGACCUCGCGCGAUUGAAUGAGCCGAUGUCGGAUUAGCUAGUUGGCGGGGUAAAGGCCCACCAAGGCGACGAUCCGUAGCUGGUCUGGGAGGAUGAUCAGCCACACUGGAACUGAGACACGGACCAGACUCCUACGGGAGGCAGCAGUGGGGAAUAUUGGACAAUGGGCGGAAGCCUGAUCCAGCCAUACCGCGUGGGUGAAGAAGGCCUUCGGGUUGUAAAGCCCUUUUGUUGGGAAAGAACAGCAGCAGGUUAAUACCCCGCUGUUCUGACGGUACCCAAAGAAUAAGCACCGGCUAACUUCGUG